rnacentral:rRNA from 1 species
CUGAAUCAGUGUGUGUGUUAGUGGAAGCGUCUGGAAAGGCGCGCGAUACAGGGUGACAGCCCCGUACACAAAAAUGCACAUGCUGUGAGCUCGAUGAGUAGGGCGGGACACGUGGUAUCCUGUCUGAAUAUGGGGGGACCAUCCUCCAAGGCUAAAUACUCCUGACUGACCGAUAGUGAACCAGUACCGUGAGGGAAAGGCGAAAAGAACCCCGGCGAGGGGAGUGAAAAAGAACCUGAAACCGUGUACGUACAAGCAGUGGGAGCACGCUUAGGCGUGUGACUGCGUACCUUUUGUAUAAUGGGUCAGCGACUUAUAUUCUGUAGCAAGGUUAACCGAAUAGGGGAGCCGAAGGGAAACCGAGUCUUAACUGGGCGUUAAGUUGCAGGGUAUAGACCCGAAACCCGGUGAUCUAGCCAUGGGCAGGUUGAAGGUUGGGUAACACUAACUGGAGGACCGAACCGACUAAUGUUGAAAAAUUAGCGGAUGACUUGUGGCUGGGGGUGAAAGGCCAAUCAAACCGGGAGAUAGCUGGUUCUCCCCGAAAGCUAUUUAGGUAGCGCCUCGUGAAUUCAUCUCCGGGGGUAGAGCACUGUUUCGGCAAGGGGGUCAUCCCGACUUACCAACCCGAUGCAAACUGCGAAUACCGGAGAAUGUUAUCACGGGAGACACACGGCGGGUGCUAACGUCCGUCGUGAAGAGGGAAACAACCCAGACCGCCAGCUAAGGUCCCAAAGUCAUGGUUAAGUGGGAAACGAUGUGGGAAGGCCCAGACAGCCAGGAUGUUGGCUUAGAAGCAGCCAUCAUUUAAAGAAAGCGUAAUAGCUCACUGGUCGAGUCGGCCUGCGCGGAAGAUGUAACGGGGCUAAACCAUGCACCGAAGCUGCGGCAGCGACGCUUAUGCGUUGUUGGGUAGGGGAGCGUUCUGUAAGCCUGUGAAGGUGUGCUGUGAGGCAUGCUGGAGGUAUCAGAAGUGCGAAUGCUGACAUAAGUAACGAUAAAGCGGGUGAAAAGCCCGCUCGCCGGAAGACCAAGGGUUCCUGUCCAACGUUAAUCGGGGCAGGGUGAGUCGACCCCUAAGGCGAGGCCGAAAGGCGUAGUCGAUGGGAAACAGGUUAAUAUUCCUGUACUUGGUGUUACUGCGAAGGGGGGACGGAGAAGGCUAUGUUGGCCGGGCGACGGUUGUCCCGGUUUAAGCGUGUAGGCUGGUUUUCCAGGCAAAUCCGGAAAAUCAAGGCUGAGGCGUGAUGACGAGGCACUACGGUGCUGAAGCAACAAAUGCCCUGCUUCCAGGAAAAGCCUCUAAGCAUCAGGUAACAUCAAAUCGUACCCCAAACCGACACAGGUGGUCAGGUAGAGAAUACCAAGGCGCUUGAGAGAACUCGGGUGAAGGAACUAGGCAAAAUGGUGCCGUAACUUCGGGAGAAGG